rnacentral:rRNA from 1 species
GUGGGGAAUAUUGGACAAUGGGCGCAAGCCUGAUCCAGCCAUGCCGCGUGAGUGAUGAAGGCCUUAGGGUUGUAAAGCUCUUUCACCGAUGAAGAUAAUGACGGUAGUCGGAGAAGAAGCCCCGGCUAACUUCGUGCCAGCAGCCGCGGUAAUACGAAGGGGGCUAGCGUUGUUCGGAUUUACUGGGCGUAAAGCGCACGUAGGCGGAUCGUUAAGUCGGGGGUGAAAUCCUGGAGCUCAACUCCAGAACUGCCUUCGAUACUGGCGAUCUUGAGUCCGGAAGAGGUGAGUGGAACUCCUAGUGUAGAGGUGGAAUUCGUAGAUAUUAGGAAGAACACCAGUGGCGAAGGCGGCUCACUGGUCCGGUACUGACGCUGAGGUGCGAAAGCGUGGGGAGCAAACAGGAUUAGAUACCCUAGUAGUCC